rnacentral:rRNA from 1 species
GACGAACGCUGGCGGCGUGCUUAACACAUGCAAGUCGAACGGAAAGGCCCUGCUUUUGUGGGGUGCUCGAGUGGCGAACGGGUGAGUAACACGUGAGUAACCUUCCCUUGACUUUGGGAUAACUUCAGGAAACUCGGGCUAAUACCGGAUAGGAGCUCCUGCUGCAUGUUGGUGGUUGGAAAGUUUCGGCGGUUGGGGAUGGACUCGCGGCUUAUCAGCUUGUUGGUGGGGUAGUUGCUUACCAAGGCUUUGACGGGUAGCCGGCCUGAGAGGGUGACCGGCCACAUUGGGACUGAGAUAGGGCCGAGACUGCUACGGGCGGCAGAAGUGGGGAAUAUUGCACAAUGGGCGGACGCCUGAUGCAGCAACGCCGGGUGCGGGAUGACGGCCUUCGGGUUGUAAGCCGCUUUCGCCUGUGACGGAGGGUGAGGGACGGUAAUGGGAAAAGAAGCACCGGCUAACUACGUG